rnacentral:rRNA from 1 species
UCCUGGCGACCAUAGCGGUUUGGAACCACCUGAUUCCAUCUCGAACUCAGUAGUGAAACGAACAUGCGCCAAUGAUAGUGUGAGGUUUCCUC